GAAGGAAGCAACUGGUCGCUGAAUCGCCCUUUGAAAAUUGUGAGGAGCCCUUCAAGUUCUUGCGAUUUGGUGCCCAUACUCUGCAGCUUUCAUUUGCAGCAGUUGAAGAAUACUUGUACGAACUUUGUGCUCCCUCCUUCCACUCCUACUGUGGGGAUCAGAACAUCAGUUACCCUUUCUCCAAAUCCCCCAAUGAGGAAUGUGGGCUAGGCAUCAUCCAUUGUGAUGGACAAUACUCGACACCAUUUAUCAGUUUUGAGGAAGAUCAAAACAGGGUUGAGGUCAAAAGCAUCGACUACAGAGAUGAGAAUAUUGGAAUUCAUGACCUAAGAUUCACGGACCUCAUACUAUGGAACGACUGCAUUAGACUCUACAAUCUCCCUCACCCACACUUUUCCGAUCAUCUUUCCUUCCGACUGAUAAGCCCCAACAAUAUUACCUUCCGAAUAUGCAACAAAAUUUUCUAAGCAUUGUCAUGGCUAGGAAUGAAAGGGGUUUAAGUAGUUGUAUAGUCAAUUUUCUAUCAUUGAAGUAUUCUGGAAGUUAGUGGCUUGUUCAAAAUUCAAACAAGCCAUACAGGAAUAAGCUGAGGUUCUUACCUUCUGUGGAGAAAGAUCGUUCUGGAUUUACCCAUUGCAGUUUUAAUCCAACAAUUUCCAUAUCUAAUAAACAUCAUAUUCUGUCCAAAA